rnacentral:rRNA from 1 species
GAUGAACGCUGGCGGCGUGCCUAAUACAUGCCAGUCGAGCGAACAGACGAGGAGCUUGCUCCUCUGACGUUAGCGGCGGACGGGUGAGUAACACGUGGAUAACCUACCUAUAAGACUGGGAUAACUUCGGGAAACCGGAGCUAAUACCGGAUAAUAUAUUGCACCGCAUGGUUCAAUAGUGAAAUACGGUUUUGCUGUCACUUAUCGAUGGAUCCGCGCCGCAUUAGCUAGUUGGUAAGGUAACGGCUUACCAAGGCGACGAUGCGUAGCCGACCUGAGAGGGUGAUAGGCCACCCGGGAACUGAGACACGGUCCAGACUCCUACGGGAGGCAGCAGUAGGGAAUCUGCCGCAAUGGGCGAAAGCCUGACGGAGCAACGGCGCGUGAGUGAUGAAGGUCUUCGGAUCGUAAAACUCUGUUAUUAGGGAAGAACAAAUGUGUAAGUAACUAUGCACGUCUUGACGGUAACUAAUCAGAAAGCAACGGCUAACUACGUG